GAAGACUGAAAAUCGAGUUGGCCAAUUGAUAUGUGAAUUUGAUGUUCAGUCUACUUUUGAAGGUGACAAUAAUGUCCUAAUGCAGCAGGUAAGCAAGGCACUCCUCGCUGAGUACGUAGCAGCUAAGAAGAGAAAUAAACCAUUUAAUGGGUUGGGAUUAGAACACAUGAAUGAGGCCUGCCCUGUCAUUCCUUCUAAGCUUACAAGUCCUAUCCUUAGGAGCUGUCAAUUCCAGACCGAUGCAUUUUGCUUAAGAGAGCGGGAUUUAUUGAAUCGUUUAGCUGCUGAAGUAUCUCAAUAUGAAGCACGGGGCAAUAGCAAAGAAUAUGCCUUCAUUCAGAGCUUUCUGCUUGCAGAAGACUUGGGCAGAGCUUUCUCCGAAAAAGCCAUACUGCGGUAUUUUAUUGAAGUUGAAAAUAGUGUACCGUCUGGCUCAAUAAAGAAUGUUUUAGGUCUUCUGAGAUCCAUGUAUGCCUUAAUCUGCUUGGAGGAAGAUGCUUCCUUCCUCCGCUAUGGUUAUUUAUCACCAGAAAAUGUAGUUGCAGUCAGGCAGGAAGUGAAGAAACUAUGCAGUGAAAUACGACCUCAUGCCCUAGCACUGGUCAGCUCCUUCGGCAUACCCGAUGCUUUCCUGGCCCCUAUAGCAUACAACUGGGUGGAGUCCAACUCUUGGUCUACGGUGCAGCAAAAGGAAGGCACCACCACAGAUAGUUUCGCAUAAUGAGCAUUCCUGAAUCCUAUCAUAGGAGCACUUGUUGAAAGGGUAGGGUGGAAUAAUCUGACAUAAUUUUAUAUGGUUGGAAGUAUAAAAGAGAAAUUAGAGACUAUUUAGAGCUAUGGAUUAUCAGAAACAACCAUUGAUGGAAGGACUAUUUAGAGCUAUGAUUAUCAGAAACAACCAUUGAUGGAAGGACUAUUUAGAGCUAU
rnacentral:misc_RNA from 1 species